rnacentral:rRNA from 1 species
GAUGAACGCUGGCGGCGUGCCUAACACAUGCAAGUCGAGCGAUUCUCUUCGGAGAAGAGCGGCGGACGGGUGAGUAACGCGUGGGUAACCUGCCCUAUACACAUGGAUAACAUACCGAAAGGUAUGCUAAUACAGGAUAAUAUGAGAGAGUCGCAUGGCUUUCUUAUCAAAGCUCCGGCGGUAUAGGAUGGACCCGCGUCUGAUUAGCUAGUUGGUAAGGUAAUGGCUUACCAAGGCGACGAUCAGUAGCCGACCUGAGAGGGUGAUCGGCCACAUUGGAACUGAGACACGGUCCAAACUCCUACGGGAGGCAGCAGUGGGGAAUAUUGCACAAUGGGCGAAAGCCUGAUGCAGCAACGCCGCGUGAGCGAUGAAGGCCUUCGGGUCGUAAAGCUCUGUCCUCAAGGAAGAUAAUGACGGUACUUGAGGAGGAAGCCCCGGCUAACUACGUG